ACUUUAAUCUCAGCAGGUUGUUAUACUUGAUUCUCUCUCCCUUUAGGUCCUUUUGUCAAUUUCCUUCUUGUUCUAGGCUGCAUUGCCUAUAACCUCGGAACCGGCAGUGGUACAUCUGUGCUUGAAAUGGUUGCUGCUUUUGAGAAAGCUUCUGGAAAGAAAAUCCCCAUUAAACUAUGCCCCAGAAGGCCAGGAGAUGCUACAGCUGUUUAUCCUUCCACUGAAAAAGCUCAAAAAGAACUUGGUUGGAAAGCAAAAUAUGGUAUAGCAGAGAUGUGCAGAGAUCAGUGGAAGUGGGCAAGCAACAAUCCAUGGGGAUACUAGUCAAAGCCUUAGGUUGCAACUAAAUACUAAUUUUCUUCCCUAGUGUUUUAAAAAUGUUUCAUAGGGAGAAUUAAGUGUACAAAUACUUGUUUAAUUUAAACAAAACUGAUCUUUGAUGAUCAAAAGUUAGGAUUUAUCAAAUGUUCAAAGAUCUUAUAAAAUUCCUUUGUGUUAUAA